GCAUUUGAUCACAUUUGAAAACCCUAAAAUUAACCUAGAAAAUCCCUAUACAAAAGUGUUUUGUUUAAAUUUGGGUUUUGUUCUGCUUUUGAAUAAUUUGCAUUUUAACCCAUGAGGGUUUUGGCAUAAAAAGGGAUUUAAUGCUUAUAUAAAGCUAUCCCAUAAAUUGGCUUUUGAAAUUAUUUUGAAAAAUAAUUUAUUUUGAUAGCCUAAAAAGCCCUAAAGGCCAUUUUAUAGGAAAAUGUAUUUUUAAAUAUUUUAUUUUGAGAAAAUUCUUGUUCCAAAAGUUAGAUCAUAUGAAGAUAUGAUUUUACAAAUUUUGUUGCAUUUUGUUUGGAGUAAUUUGGAGCUUUGAAUCAAUUUUGGAGUUCAAAAACAGAAAAUAGAAAAGAAAACGGAAAGAAGAAAAAAAAAAGAAAAGAAAAGAAAGAAAACCGAGGGCGGCCCGGCCUAAUGGGCCGAACCGGCCGAACCGGACCGAGCUGACCGGCCCAGCUCCGCGCGUCCACGCGCUCUGUCGCUGCCAGGUGGGUCCCACUCCCCCCUUCUUCUCCAACUGCCGCCCGGAGUCCACGCCACGCACGCGCCCGAACCACCCCACGACGCCACCCCGAUUUCUCCGGCCACGCGACCACAUCUUCGAAACAGCGCGCGUCAGUUUGAAGCUCUUGGCCGCCUCUCUCUUUUCCCCAAACUCCCUUGCCCGAUUUCUCUCGCUCCACGCUUUAAUUUCUCGCCGAAGAAAGCUUUCAGCCGCCGCCGUCUUCGCGAUUUCGCCGCCGCUCCGGUGAGUCUCCCGUCCGUCGCCCGCCUAUUUCCUUCUCUCCUCUCCCAUGCGCACUCCGUGACGCGGAUGAAAUUGUGUUUGGUUGCCGCAGCUACCACGUCGUCGCCGCCCGUGCUCACCGCCGUCCGCCUCCGUCUGCCCGAGCCGCCCGACCGCUGCCGCCCGAAGCCAAGGCCGCUGCCGGGACCGCAUCGCCGAGCCGCCCAUCUUUCCCAUUUUCCCGAGCCCAGCCGCCGCCCGA
rnacentral:lncRNA from 1 species